rnacentral:rRNA from 1 species
GAGUGGCGGACUGGUGAGUAACACGUGGUGACAGUACCCUCAGAUGGGGAUAGCUAGUUAGAAAUAGUAGAUAAGUACCGAAAUACGAGCACAGGGGUUAGAGAUCUGUGAGGAAAGAGCUAAGGCUCCGCUGAAGGAAUGGCCUGCGGCCCAUUAGCUAGUUGGUGAGGUAAGAGCCCACCAAGGCGAUGAUGGGUAUCCGGCCUUAGAGGGUGAACGGACACAUUGGGACUGAGAUACGGCCCAGACUCCUACGGGAGGCAGCAGCUAAGAAUAUUCCGCAAUGGACGAAAGUCUGACGGAGCGACGCCGCGUGGAUGAAGAAGGCCGGAAGGUUGUAAAAUCCUUUUGAAACUGAAGAAUAAGCGUUGUAGGGAAUGACAGCGUGGUGACAGUAGGUUUUGAAUAAGCAACGGCUAAUUACGUGCCAGCCGCGGC